GAUCUGCAUUAGGCAGUCGCCCACUCGAAAGGGUUGGGAGGAAAGUCCGGACACAGGCCCGCAAGGGUAGCAGGGUAGCGGGUAACGCCCGUCCGCCGCGAGGCGAGAGAUGCGAACAGAAACGCCGAUGUCGAAAGACUAGGGCUCCGAAAGGAGUAGCUCCAUGAAAACAUGGAGGUGCAACGGCAAAAUUCUUACUUCUGUGCAAGGCCGUGCCCUUGGGAUACACCAAUUGGAUAUCUCAAAGGAGAGCCGCUCGAGGUGGUUGGCAACAAUCAUCCCAGACACAUGACUGCACACGACAGAAUCCGGCUUACCGAUGCAGCAAAA
rnacentral:RNase_P_RNA from 1 species